rnacentral:lncRNA from 1 species
UCCCCUUUUGACUAGCCAUCCCCGAGUGCUUAUUACAAAAUUAUUACAGUCUAGAAUGAAUAAAAGAAUAAAUUAAAAAUUAAAAAAGUACAACCAAAGAGAACCUGAUUCAGGAUUCAUGUCUGAAAUAUGAGGUAAACCAACUCCAAGAGAUCAUGAUCCAAAGCCUUUCUCCCAUUUGAGUAUGUUAGAGUUCCCUAAGAGUCUCAAAUGAACUCCGGGUAGUGUUCACACCAAAAUGUACUAACAGAUUAAGACAAGUGCAGUCUAGAAAGGGCCAGACCUCAAGUGUCCAAGUUCAGAGGGAGCUCAAGGUCUUAUGGCAAGGCUCACAAGAAGGGGGCAUAGCAUAAGACUAUGAGGGAGUGCAAGUGCAGGAAUAGAAUUCUGAGAGGGGAAAGAGGAGGGGAUGUAGUUGCAAAUAAAUACACAUAUGUGGUUCUGGGGGAAGGGAAAAUAGAAAGAGGCAAGGCAGGUUGUGGGCAUACGCAGCAAUGGAGAGUGCUAGCAUACCCCUAAGCCUGCUAGAACACACUAUUAUAGGCUAGGAUCCCAAGGGAUCAAGUUCAGUUCAUGGACAAUAGUUUGAAUAUUGUCAUGCCUUAAACCAUAGCCCUAACAUAUAGGGGUAGGGGUUUUGGGAGUCAUAAUAGAAACAAGCAGAAGGAAAUUAGCAUGCUAAUUUAAAUGUUGAACUAUACAGAAAAACAGUAAGUAGAUAUGGAUACAAAAGCAGUGAAUACACAUUAUUGUGGUGCUAAAGAUUAAAUCUAGGCUUACCAGUUUCAAAGAGACAAAUUGAUAAAAGUAGUAGGUCUUGUAAACAAGCCACAGUACAGACAAGAAGAGAGAAUAUUAUUGUGUAUAAAUGUGAUUUCAGAAAUAUUGUGAAUCAGUGCCAUGUGUUUAUGAAAGAGUCGUGCAUUUAUAGUGUGUAAAUCAGGCAGAUAUAAGGUAAGAAAACAGUUAAGGAAUUGAAUAUCAAUUAAGAAUCAAUCACACAAGACUUCUUUUAAUUAAGGAAUUAAGAUUCAAACUGUAAGAGUUAUUUGAGGAAAGAAAUCAAACAAGCACUUUGCGCAAAGCAAGCAAUUAAGGGUACAUAGAAGUUUAUUUUAGGGGAAGAGUUUUAAAAUACAUAGUUGCAUGAAUAAGGUAAGAAAAUUAAUUCGUAGUCAAUAAAUCAAGAACCAGAUAUGUUGUAAUCAAUGGUCCAUGAACAACCAAGCCAGAAAAGUUAAGGAAAGUCAAGUAACUUAAAUCGAGUCAUAGGGACAUAAGCAAAUAAGGAAAAAAGCCAAUCAAC